rnacentral:rRNA from 1 species
UCGAAACCUGCCCAGCAGAGCGACCCGUGAACAUGUUCAACUUCGUGGGUGCUGGGGUGUUGCUUGGUGCCUUGUGCCUUCUCGCCCCUCUCCCAGGCCGGGGGAGCGCACACUCGUGUGCUGUUUUCCCGGCUAACCAACGAACCCCGGCGCGUAAAUGCGUCAAGGAAUAUAAACUUUAUGUGUGUGCUCUCCUAUCGCCCGGUUAGCCGGACGUUGGAGUGGUGCCAUGUCUUAACAAUAAACGACUCUCGGCAACGGAUAUCUCGGCUCUCGCAUCGAUGAAGAACGUAGCGAAAUGCGAUACUUGGUGUGAAUUGCAGAAUCCCGUGAACCAUCGAGUUUUUGAACGCAAGUUGCGCCCGAAGCUUCGGCUGAGGGCACGUCUGCCUGGGCGUCACGCAUCGCGUCUCCCCCAUCCACCCUCGGUGGAGGGGAAGGAGGAUGGUUUCCCGCGACUCACCGGUCGCGGCUGGCCUAAAAUUUGAGCCCUCGGCAUCGGGAUGCCGCGGCGAUAGGUGGUGAACAAGGCCUCGGCCGAGCAAGCAACCCGUCGCGCAUGCCGUGCCAAUGUGGGCUCGUAGGACCCUUUGUUGUUGCCUUCGAGGCAACCAAACCGUUGCGACCC